rnacentral:rRNA from 1 species
UACGUAGGCAGCAAGCGUUGUUCGGAGUUACUGGGCGUAAAGCGUGCGCAGGCGGUUUUGUAAGCCAGAUGUGAAAUCCCCGGGCUUAACCUGGGAAUGGCAUUUGGGACUGCAAGGCUCGAGUGCGGCAGAGGAGACUGGAAUUCCUGGUGUAGCAGUGAAAUGCGUAGAUAUCAGGAGGAACACCGAUGGCGAAGGCAGGUCUCUGGGCUGACACUGACGCUCAUGCACGAAAGCGUGGGGAGCAAACAGG